rnacentral:rRNA from 1 species
GAUGAACGCUGGCGGCGUGCCUAAUACAUGCAAGUCGAGCGAACAGAUGAGGAGCUUGCUCCUCUGACGCUAGCGGCGGACGGGUGAGUAACACGUGGAUAACCUACCUAUAAGACUGGGAUAACUUCGGGAAACCGGAGCUAAUACCGGAUAAUAUAUUGAACCGCAUGGUUCAAUAGUGAAAGACGGUUUUGCUGUCACUUAUAGAUGGAUCCGCGCCGCAUUAGCUAGUUGGUAAGGUAACGGCUUACCAAGGCAACGAUGCGUAGCCGACCUGAGAGGGUGAUCGGCCACACUGGAACUGAGACACGGUCCAGACUCCUACGGGAGGCAGCAGUAGGGAAUCUUCCGCAAAGGGCGAAAGCCUGACGGAGCAACGCCGCGUGAGUGAUGAAGGUCUUCGGAUCGUAAAACUCUGUUAUUAGGGAAGAACAAAUGUGUAAGUAACUAUGCACGUCUUGACGGUACCUAAUCAGAAAGCCACGGCUAACUACGUG